rnacentral:lncRNA from 1 species
AAACCCACCACAACUCUUGCGCUCCUUCGUUUGCUCCAACGAAGGUGUCUACUAGUCUCCUAGCACCCUAAAGAUGUAGGAACAAGGGUUAAACGAACCUUACGAUCAACCCUAAGCUCAAUCAAUAAGCAACAUAGGCUAAGGUGGAGAAACUCACCUCAAGUGAAGAAAUCCUCUCUCAAGCUCCAAAUGGGAGUUAGAGUUCUUCAAAUCCAACCUAAAUAAAGGUUCUAAACCCAUCAAUUAGGUUUCAAAGCCCUCAAAUCGAAAAUCCCCAAAAUAAACCCUAAAUCCCAAAAUCUAGGGUUUCAUCUAGUUUAAAGCUUCAAAACUAGAAUUUAGAGGAAGAAAACUAGCCACUUACCUCUAGGAUGCUCCCAACCGAG